rnacentral:rRNA from 1 species
CUAAGGCCAACGGGAGAAGGGUUGUUAAGGAACUCGGCAAAUUGACCCCGUAACUUCGGGAGAAGGGGUGCUCCAGAGAUGGAGCCGCAGAGAAUCGGCCCAAGCAACUGUUUACCAAAAACACAGGUUUGUGCUAAAUCGAAAGAUGACGUAUACGAGCUGACGCCUGCCCGGUGCUGGAAGGUUAAGAGGAGAUGUGCAAGCAUUGAAUCGAAGCCCCAGUGAACGGCGGCCGUAACUAUAACGGUCCUAAGGUAGCGAAAUUCCUUGUCAGGUAAGUUCUGACCCGCAUGAAAGGCGUAAUGAUUUGGGCACUGUCUCAACAGCCCGCCCGGCGAAAUUGUAGUACCGGUGAAGAUGCCGGUUACCCGCGACAAGACGGAAAGACCCCAUGGAGCUUUACUGUAGCCUAAUAUUGGGUUUCGAUGUUGCAUGCACAGGAUAGAUGGGACACUGGGAAACAAUCGCUUUGGCGGUUGCGGAGUGGCCGUUGGGAUACCAUCCUUGCGAUAUUGGAAUUCUAACCUGCGGCUCUGAAUCGAGUCGGGGGACAUUGUUAGGUGGGCAGUUUGACUGGGGCGGUCGCCUCCUAAAAAGUAACGGAGGCGUUCAAAGGUUCGCUCAGCUUGAACGGAAAUCAAGCAAAAGAGUGCAAACGCAGAAGCGAGCCUAACUGCGAGACUGACGGGUCGAGCAGUAACGAAAGUUGGAGUUAGUGAUCCGGUGGUAUGUGAGUGGAAAUGCCAUCGCUCAACGGAUAAAAGUUACCCUGGGGAUAACAGGCUGAUCUCCCCCAAGAGUCCACAUCGACGGGGAGGUUUGGCACCUCGAUGUCGGCUCAUCGCAUCCUGGGGCUGUAUUCGGUCCCAAGGGUUUGGCUGUUCGCCAAUUAAAGCGGUACGCGAGCUGGGUUCAGAACGUCGUGAGACAGUUCGGUCCCUAUCUGUCGUGGGCGCAGGAUAUUUGAUGGGAGCUGUCCCUAGUACGAGAGGACCGGGACGGACGUACCUCUGGCGCACCAGUUGUUCCGCCAGGAGCAUAGCUGGGCAACUACGUACGGAUCGGAUAAACGCUGAAAGCAUCUAAGCGUGAAGCCGACCCAAAGAUAAGAUAUCCCACUGAUUUGAUCAGGUAAGACCCCUUGAAGACUACAAGGUCGAUAGGCACGAUGUGUAAGUGGAGCGAUCCAUUCAGCAAGCGUGUACUAAUAGGUCGAGGGCUUGACCAC